CUCUGCAGUCUUGCAGUGAGAUCUUCAAAGCUAAGAAAGCCUUGGCUGGGUUAGUAGUUAGGUGGGAGACCACCUGGGCACCGCAAGGCACUGACAGAGG
ensembl:rRNA 5S_rRNA 5S ribosomal RNA